rnacentral:rRNA from 1 species
AUUGAACGCUGGCGGAAUGCUUUACACAUGCAAGUCGAACGGUAGAGGGGGCGAACCCCUUCGAGAGUGGCGAACGGGUGGAGUAAUAUAUCGGAACGUGCCCAGUCGUGGGGGAGUAACGUAGCGAAAGUUACGCUAAUACCGCAUACGAUCUAAGGAUGAAAGCGGGGGACCGGUAAGGCCUCGCGCGAUUAGAGCGGCCGAUAUCUGAUUAGCUUGUUGGUGGGGUAAAAGCCCACCAAGGCGACGAUCAGUAGCUGGUCUGAGAGGACGAUCAGCCACACUGGGACUGAGACACGGCCCAGACUCCUACGGGAGGCAGCAGUGGGGGAAUUUUGGACAAUGGGGGGCGAACCCCUGAUCCAGCAAUGCCGCGUGUGUGAAGAAGGCC